rnacentral:lncRNA from 1 species
AUUAUAACCAGUCUGGCAGUCAGUAUCAUGGUAAUAUUAUCUGACUUUAUCAGAACAUCUGUAAUUUCGACACUACUGACGAGUGACAUUUUCUUUUUUUUUUUUGCGAUAAGGGUGAAAUAUAUUAAAAGUGGAACAGAACACUCAUUUUACAUAUAGAACCCUUGGAAAGAUCUAAAUUACAAAACAAGUCCGUAGACCGACUGACGAGUGAUAUUUACACACAUGCACUCCCCCUUUAUUUCACUAGCUCAGUAAUUAAACAUGCACACAGAAAUGCAGACUCAAACCCAGACGAAGCUUUCAAAAACAUAAGUGAUUUUGCAGCUUCUGACAAGUGACACAUUCACACAGGCACUCUCCCAUUAUUUUACUUGCUCAUUAUCAUUACACAUUCAUGCACUAAUGC